UUAGGGUUGGAAGGUGUGAUGGUGGGUUAGGGUUGGGUGUUGUGAUCCUGGGUUAGGUUGGGUGGUGUGAUGCUGGGUUAGGGUUGGGUGUUGUGAUCCUGGGUUAGGUUGGGUGGUGUGAUGCUGGGUUAGGUUAGGGGUGAGUGGUGAGAUGCUGGGUUAGGGUUGGGUGGUGAGAUGCUGGGUUAGGAUGGGUUGUGAGAUGAUGGGUUAGGAUUAGGUGGUAUGAUGCUGGUUUAGGUUGGGUAGUGUGAUGGUGGGUUAGGAUUGGGUGGUGUGAUGGUGGGUUAGGGUUGGGGUGUGAUGCUGGGUUAGGUUGGGUGGUGUGAUGCUGGGUUAGGAUUGGGUGGUGUGAUGCUGGGUUAGGUGGGGUGGUGUGAUAGUGGGUUAGGUUGGGUUAUGUGAUGGUGGGUUAGGGUUGGGUGGUGUGAUGGUGGGUUAAGGUUGGGGGUUGUGAUGGUGGGUUAAGGUUGGGUGUUGUGAUCCUGGGUUAGGUUGGGUGGUGUGAUGCUGGGUUAGGAUUGGGGGUGUGAUGCUGGGUUAGGUUGGGUGGUGUGAUGCUGGGUUAGGAUUGGGUGGUGUGAUGCUGGGUUAGGUUGGGUGGUGUGAUGCUGGGUUAGGGUUGGGUGGUGUGAUGCUGGGUUAGGAUUGGGUGGUGUGAUGCUGGGUUAGGUUGGGUGGUGUGAUGCUGGGUAAGGGUUGGGUGGUGAGAUGC